UACGUAGGGUGCAAGCGUUAAUCGGAAUUACUGGGCGUAAAGCGUGCGCAGGUGGCGCCGCAAGUCAGGCGUGAAAUCCCCGAGCUCAACUUGGGAAUUGCGCUUGAAACUACGGUGCUGGAGUAUGGCAGAGGGAGGUGGAAUUCCCAGUGUAGAGGUGAAAUUCGUAGAUAUUGGGAAGAACACCGGUGGCGAAGGCGGCGACCUGGUCCGUGACUGACGCUGAGGCGCGAAAGCGUGGGGAGCAAACAGG
rnacentral:rRNA from 1 species